ensembl:misc_RNA Metazoa_SRP Metazoan signal recognition particle RNA
GCCAGGCAUGGUGGCGAGUGCCUGUAGGCCCAGCUACUUGGGAGGCUGAGGCAGGAGGAUCCUUGAGCCCGGGAGUUCUGGGCUGUAGUGUGCUAUGCUCAUUGGGUGUCUACACUAAGUCAUCAGUACGGUACCUUCUGGGAGCAGGGGACCACCAGUCGCCUAAGGAGAGGUAAACCUGCCCUGAUCAGAAACGGAGCAGGUCAAAACUCCCAUGCUGAUUGAAUAGCCAUUGCCCUCCAGCCUGGGCAGCACAGUGAGAUCCUACCUUUA